rnacentral:rRNA from 1 species
AUGAAAAAUGCCUUACCCGCCAUUGCUUUCUUCAACGCCUCGAUUUCCUGGAGGGCCCUGUGGGCUUCGGCCUUGGCGGCUUUGGCACUCACAAGAGCCGAUGCAAGCUCGGACUCUCGAGUCUUUGAGUCGCGCUCCAAACUCUCAUGUUUUUCCACGAGAGCCUGGAGCUCUUGCUGUACCUCCGCCACCCGCGCCUCCUGCUUGUCUCGCCCAGCACGCUCCGCGGCCGCAUUACAUUCGGUCGCGGACACUGCCUCCUUCAGAGUCGCCACCUCGUUCGUGGCCCCUGGAGAACCCACGUUAUCCUUGUCAUUUCUCUUGCAACCAAAUCCUUUUCUGUAA